rnacentral:rRNA from 1 species
CGUCUAUAUACGUAUAGCAUAUCAAUAAGCGGAGGAAAAGAAACUAACAAGGAUUCCCCUAGUAACGGCGAGUGAAGCGGGAAGAGCUCAAGUUUGAAAUCUUCAAGGGUUUCCCUUGACGAAUUGUAGUUUAAAGAAGUGUUUUCUGUUAGAGAGGUGGUAAAAGUUCUUUGGAAUAGGACAUCAUAGAGGGUGAGAAUCCCGUAUUUGAUCACUUCCUACUAACGUUGUGAUACACUUUCAAAGAGUCGGAUUGUUUGGGAAUGCAGUCCAAAAUGGGUGGUAAAUUUCAUCUAAAGCUAAAUAUUGGCGAGAGACCGAUAGCGAACAAGUACCGUGAGGGAAAGAUGAAAAGAACUUUGAAAAGAGAGUUAAACAGUACGUGAAAUUGUCAAAAGGGAAGCGUUUGACACCAGUGUUGUUUUUUCCGAAAAUCAAUUAUGAGUGGCUUGAUUUUAAGUUUCAUGACCUUAAAAGCUUGUUUCUUAUUUUUCAUGUCUUCCGUAAUGCACUUUUCGGUUAACAAGUCAACAUCAAUUUCUUUUGUUGUAAAAGGUUAAGAGGAAGGUGGCUUUACUUUCGGGUAAAGUGUUUAUAGCCUUUUAACUCUGCAAUCGGAGAGAUUGAGGUCUGCAGCGUAGAUCCUUCGGGGUUAGAUACAUUUGUGCUAAGUUAUAGCUUUUCAUAGACAACUUGUUGACUAUGUUAAGUCUUGUAAUUUACUCGCAGAUGCUAUUUUACCUACGCUUAGGAUGUUGACGCGCGUGUGUGCGUG